CCCAGGAAGUUCCCUCCCUCUCUUAGCUCUCUCUUCGCUUCCCCGCUUCUGAAUUCUGCUCGUCCCUCUUCGCGGCCUCGGUCCACUCUCCUAUCGCCGUCCCUCUCAGCAUGGCGGCUGAGAAGACAGCCGUUCUCAUGGCUCCUUCGGGAGCCUUCAUUUCUGUUGUUUUCGUUUCUUUUCUUUACUAAGUUAUUCACAUAUUUGCCUCUCCACACGAGGAAGACGAAUUCUGAAACAUUUCUUAUUUGGACCUUUCAAAUACCGCGCGAUUCCGCAGCAGCCCCGGAAGACACGAGAGAACACGCCCAAUCACAAAGAGACCACAUAACUCCCUUGGUGAUUGGACAGUCAUUUCAGGUUUCCAGUGAGCAAGGGGGCCGACCAGCGUUACCGACACUGGCUGUGAGUGAAACUCGGUUCCUCUUGUCUCUGUCCGUUGCGGCACGCAGUGGAGACAUCAGCAAUUUGGCACUCCAAAGGUUGUGUUAAAAGUCACAAGCUGUUUGAGAGGGUGCAACGUCAGAGUACCAGAGGGCCGGGGACACUGCGGUUGAGUGUUUGGGAGCGCCGGAGAGGUUGACCAAGCCACUGGUUUCCACCUGAAUGACUUCAAUGCACCCAGGUGAACCAAAUGUGAUAAAGCCCAUCCAUUUAUUAUAAGCCACAGAAUAUUAGAUAUUCCCCCGGAUAUAUUUUAAGGGUUUGACCCAUUUGCUUCUUCAAGCCACACCAUAUUUCUAUUUUUCCUACCCAGAUAGCCCACUCACCUGUUGGCCCUAUCUUAAAAUCUAGCAGUAGGCUUAGGCCUCCUUAUUCUCACUAACACAUCGUGUUUCUAUUUUUUUUUUAUCUCAUUUCAAGUGUUGUGUUUCACUUUGAUCUUUUAAUAUCUUCUGUUCUGUUGUGAUUUGUUUCUUUCAUUUCACAUAGAGACAGUAACCUGUGAGAGCCACCAAAGAAGCUAAAUAGUAGAGCGACAACCAGCAGCCGGUGUCAUCACGCGACCCGCUAGGCUACUGCCUGUCAAAUCUCCAUUUCAGGUACUUCGUUGACCCAAGUUAAUUGGCUACUGAACUGUCUGACUGUUUGCAUCAGUUAGCCCCAAAAUUCUCAUAAACGGCACAGCCCUUAUGAAUAUAGCUCGUUAACCGUAGAAAGAACUUGCAUUGGUCUUUUUGUGUGGGUGCUGUGCUUCUCUCACCGACAGUGAAGUCAGGAUGUUCCAGUCAUCCAGUCCAGCAGUCCACGGGGGCCACCUCUUGACAUGGUUGAAAGCAGUGACGACCCCCUUCCUGCCCAAGGACGCAAGUAACCUGUAGCACCCAGAGCAACUAG
rnacentral:lncRNA from 1 species